rnacentral:rRNA from 1 species
UAAGCGGUUAGUGGCCUACUGGUGAGUAACACGUAAGAAAUCUGCCUAUCAGAGGGGAAUAACAGUGAGAAAUCAUUGCUAAUACCGCAUAUGCUAUAGGAAUCGCAUGAUUCUAGUAGGAAAGGAGCAAUCCGCUGAUAGAUGAGCUUGCGUCUGAUUAGCUAGUUGGUGGGGUAAAGGCCUACCAAGGCAACGAUCAGUAGCCGGACUGAGAGGUUGAACGGCCACAUUGGGACUGAGAUACGGCCCAGACUCCUACGGGAGGCAGCAGUCGGGAAUAUUGCGCAAUGGAGGAAACUCUGACGCAGUGACGCCGCGUAUAGGAAGAAGGUUUUCGGAUUGUAAACUAUUGUCCACAGGGAAGAAAAAAGACUGUACCUGUGAAGAAAGCUCCGGCUAACUACGUGCCAGCAGCCGCGGUAAUACGUAGGGAGCAAGCGUUAUCCGGAAUUAUUGGGUGUAAAGGGUGCGUAGACGGGAUAACAAGUUGGUUGUGAAACCCCUCGGCUCAACUGAGGAACUGCAACCAAAACUAUUAUUCUUGAGUGCAGGAGAGGAAAGUGGAAUUCCUAGUGUAGCGGUGAAAUGCGUAGAUAUUAGGAAGAACACCGGUGGCGAAGGCGACUUUCUGGACUGUAACUGACGUUGAGGCACGAAAGUGUGGGGAGCAAACAGGAUUAGAUACCCUGGUAGUC